rnacentral:misc_RNA from 1 species
GAUGAAGAACGUAGUGAAAUGCGAUAAUUAAUGUGAAUUGCAGAAUUCAGUGAAUCAUCGAGUCUUUGAACGCACAUUGCGCCCCCUGGUAUUCCGGGGGGCAUGCCUGUCCGAGCGUCAUUGCUGCCCUCAAGCACGGCUUGUGUGUUGGGCUUCCGUCCCUGGCAACGGGGACGGGCCCAAAAGGCAGUGGCGGCACCAUGUCUGGUCCUCGAGCGUAUGGGGCUUUGUCACCCGCUCCCGUAGGUCCAGCUGGCAGCUAGCCUCGCAACCAAUCUUUUUAACCAGGUUGACCUCGGAUCAGGUAGGGAUACCCGCUGAACUUAAGAAUAUCAAUAAGCGGAGGA